rnacentral:rRNA from 1 species
UACGGAGGGUGCAAGCGUUAAUCGGAAUUAUUGGGCGUAAAGCGCGCGUAGGCGGCAGUGCAAGUCGGAUGUGAAAGCCCCGGGCUCAACCUGGGAAUUGCAUUCGAUACUACACAGCUUGAGUGUGGUAGAGGGAAGCGGAAUUCCGGGUGUAGCGGUGAAAUGCGUAGAUAUCCGGAGGAACAUCGGUGGCGAAGGCGGCUUCCUGGACCAACACUGACGCUGAGGCGCGAAAGCGUGGGGAGCAAACAGG